rnacentral:rRNA from 1 species
UACAGAGGUGGCAAGCGUUGUUCGGAAUUACUGGGCGUAAAGGGCGCGUAGGCGGUCUUGUAAGUCCUGUGUGAAAUCCCUCGGCUCAACUGAGGAACUGCACGGGAUACUGCGAGACUUGAGUUCGGGAGAGGGAAGCGGAAUUCCGGGUGUAGCGGUGAAAUGCGUAGAUAUCAGGAGGAACACCAAUUGCGAAGGCAGCUCGCUGGGACGUUACUGACGCUGAGACGCGAAAGCGUGGGGAGCAAACAGG